ensembl:snRNA U6 U6 spliceosomal RNA
GUGCUUGGUCUGGCAACACUUGUAAUAAAAUUGGAACUGUAUACAAAGAAGAUUCACAUUGCCCCUGCACAAGGAUGACACACAAAUUGGUGAAUCAUUUCGUAGUUUU